ACGUGGGUAACCUGCCUUAUAGUGGGGGAUAGCCUUUCGAAAGGAAGAUUAAUACCGCAUAAGAUUGUAGUAUCGCAUGAUAUAGCAAUUAAAGGAGCAAUUCGCUAUAAGAUGGACCCGCGUCGCAUUAGCUAGUUGGUGAGGUAAUGGCUCACCAAGGCGACGAUGCGUAGCCGACCUGAGAGGGUGAUCGGCCACAUUGGGACUGAGACACGGCCCAGACUCCUACGGGAGGCAGCAUGA
rnacentral:rRNA from 1 species